AGCAUGCUCUUUUGGCAUAUCAUUCUGCAGUGAUGCUGUGCCAGAUGCUGCAGUUCCCUCGUUGGUGUCUCCAGAAAUCUCUAGCCUUGCUGUUUCUCUUUUAUAUCACUGGACCAGACUGUCUGUUUCAAGUGUGUGAUAGAAGACUGGGAGAAAGAUGUCUAUGAAGGCACAGCAGAAGUGUAGCAGUCUGAAGCAGAGACAAAAACAAGAAUGGACAAUCUGCUGGAAAUAUGUUUAUAUACACAGCUAACAGUAGUGAACAGCAAAAGCCAGUCCUCAGAUCCAAUGAAUAGCUGCAUGUUUCUAAGCCUGGGAAUGCCAGGCAAAAAAGGCUUCUUCUGCUCACCAUUGCUGAACAUGGAUCUGUAAGUGAUUUCAUGUAUAUGCUUUCAAAUUAGCAUAAAAAAUGGCAGGAGACUGUGACAUGAAUAAACAUAAUGCUGCAUUUUACUGCUGGCCUUUGAGCCAAACAAAAUCACUACAUGCUCAAGUUUUGCUAAGGGAAGGUCUAUAACAUCACAGAUGCUGAAUAUAAGCAUAUAUAACUGUUGGGUAUUUUUUGCCCCUAAUUAAUAGUUAUUUGUACGUAAUCAGAUCCUAGAUACAUUUUGAAGACUCCAGAAGAUACAUUUUAAUAUGAACUCUCAGUUUCAUUACCUGAAAGGGGAGCAUUUAUUUGUGGGUGUGGGACCAAGCACAGUGAUGCAAAUGAACUGUGUUAUUGCAGAAACACUAACUACUGCUAAAACCUCUAAGUGAAGACUGAAUUUCAGGGAAUGAUUUAGUGAGAUAAAUACCAAUAAGCUACAAAAUUACAACCCAUUCCUCUGAGAUUCUGUGCACCAACAGUUAGUCUUAAGUGAUUUAAUCAUGACUAAUUACGUAUUAUCACUCCUAAUCUUUAACAUUUCAAUCGGUCUUAAGUUGUGCUGUUUAUUCAUAAUUUGUCAUCUUAAUUUCAUUAAAAUUGACAUAGUGAGGGCA